rnacentral:rRNA from 1 species
GUGCCAGCAGCCGCGGUAAGACGAAGGAUCCAAGCGUUGUCCGGAUUUACUGGGUUUAAAGGGUGCGUAGGCGGAAAAUUAAGUCAGUGGUGAAAGCCCGCAGCUCAACUGUGGAACUGCCAUUGAAACUGGUUUUCUUGAAUAUAGCUGAGGCAGAUGGAAUAUAACAUGUAGCGGUGAAAUGCUUAGAUAUGUUAUAGAACACCGAUUGCGAAGGCAGUCUGCUAAACUAUUAUUGACGCUGAGGCACGAAAGCGUGGGGAGCGAACAGGAUUAGAUACCCUGGUAGUCCACGCCCUAAACGUUGAUUACUCGCUGUUGGCGAUAUACUGUCAGUGGCUAAGCGAAAGCGUUAAGUAAUCCACCUGGGAAGUACGACCGCAAGGUUGAA